rnacentral:rRNA from 1 species
AGAGUUUGAUCAUAACAUCAGAUUGAACGCUGGCGGCAGGCCUAACACAUGCAAGUCGAGCGAGAAAGCACUUCGGUGUGAGUAGAGCGGCGGACGGGUGAGUAACGCGUAGGAAUUUGCCCAGUAGUGGGGGACAACAUGUGGAAACGCAUGCUAAUACCGCAUACGCCCUAUGGGGGAAAGCAGGGGAUCUUCGGACCUUGCGCUAUUGGAGAAGCCUGCGUCGGAUUAGCUAGUUGGUGGGGUAAAGGCCCAUAAAGGCGACGAUCCGUAGCUGGUCUGAGAGGAUGAUCUGCCACACUGGAACUGAGACACGGCCCAGACUCCUACGGGAGGCAGCAGUGGGGAAUAUUGGACAAUGGGGGCAACCCUGAUCCAGCCAUGCCGCGUGUGUGAAGAAGGCCUUAGGGUUGUAAAGCACUUUCAGUAGGGAGGAAAAGUUAGUCGUUAAUAUCGGCUAACCCUACGUUACCUACAGAAGAAGCACCGGCAAACUCCGUGCCAGCAGCCGCGGUAAUACGGAGGGUGCGAGCGUUAAUCGGAAUUACUGGGCGUAAAGCGUUCGUAGGCGGUCUAUUAAGCAAGAUGUGAAAGCCCAGGGCUCAACCUUGGAACUGCAUUUUGAACUGGUAGACUAGAGUACUGUAGAGGGUGGUGGAAUUUCCAGUGUAGCGGUGAAAUGCGUAGAGAUUGGAAGGAACAUCAGUGGCGAAGGCGGCCACCUGGACAGAUACUGACGCUGAGGAACGAAAGCGUGGGGAGCAAACAGGAUUAGAUACCCUGGUAGUCCACGCCGUAAACGAUGUCAACUAGCCGUUUACGGACUUGAUCUGUGAACGGCGCAGCUAACGCACUAAGUUGACCGCCUGGGGAGUACGGCCGCAAGGUUAAAACUCAAAUGAAUUGACGGGGGCCCGCACAAGCGGUGGAGCAUGUGGUUUAAUUCGAUGCAACGCGAAGAACCUUACCUACUCUUGACAUCCACAGAAUUUGGCAGAGAUGCUUUAGUGCCUUCGGGAACUGUGAGACAGGUGCUGCAUGGCUGUCGUCAGCUCGUGUUGUGAAAUGUUGGGUUAAGUCCCGCAACGAGCGCAACCCCUAUCCUUAUUUGCCAGCGCGUUAUGGCGGGAACUCUAAGGAGACUGCCGGUGAUAAACCGGAGGAAGGUGGGGACGACGUCAAGUCAUCAUGGCCCUUAUGGGUAGGGCUACACACGUGCUACAAUGGCUGGGACAGAGGGCUGCUAACUCGCGAGAGUACGCUAAUCCCUUAAAGCCGGUCCUAGUCCGGAUUGGAGUCUGCAACUCGACUCCAUGAAGCUGGAAUCGCUAGUAAUCGCGGAUCAGAAUGCCGCGGUGAAUUCGUUCCCGGGCCUUGUACACACCGCCCGUCACACCAUGGGAGUGGGUUGCAAAAGAAGUGGGUAGGCUAACCUUCGGGAGGCCGCUCACCACUUUGUGAUUAAUGACUGGGGUGAAGUCGUAACAAGGUAGCCCUA